ACAAUGAAGAGUUUGAUCCUGGCUCAGGAUGAACGCUAGCUACAGGCUUAACACAUGCAAGUCGAGGGGCAUCAGGAAGAAAGCUUGCUUUCUUUGCUGGCGACCGGCGCACGGGUGAGUAACACGUAUCCAACCUGCCCUUUACUCGGGGAUAGCCUUUCGAAAGAAAGAUUAAUACCCGAUGGUAUAAUCAUUCCGCAUGGUUUGAUUAUUAAAGGAUUCCGGUAAAGGAUGGGGAUGCGUUCCAUUAGGUUGUUGGUGAGGUAACGGCCCACCAAGCCUUCGAUGGAUAGGGGUUCUGAGAGGAAGGUCCCCCACAUUGGAACUGAGACACGGUCCAAACUCCUACGGGAGGCAGCAGUGAGGAAUAUUGGUCAAUGGGCGCGAGCCUGAACCAGCCAAGUAGCGUGAAGGAUGACUGCCCUAUGGGUUGUAAACUUCUUUUAUAUUAGAAUAAAGUGCAGUAUGUAUACUGUUUUGUAUGUAUAAUAUGAAUAAGGAUCGGCUAACUCCGUGCCAGCAGCCGCGGUAAUACGGAGGAUCCGAGCGUUAUCCGGAUUUAUUGGGUUUAAAGGGAGCGUAGGUGGACUGGUAAGUCAGUUGUGAAAGUUUGCGGCUCAACCGUAAAAUUGCAGUUGAUACUGUCAGUCUUGAGUACAGUAGAGGUGGGCGGAAUUCGUGGUGUAGCGGUGAAAUGCUUAGAUAUCACGAAGAACUCCGAUUGCGAAGGCAGCUCACUGGACUGCAACUGACACUGAUGCUCGAAAGUGUGGGUAUCAAACAGGAUUAGAUACCCUGGUAGUCCACACAGUAAACGAUGAAUACUCGCUGUUUGCGAUAUACAGUAAGCGGCCAAGCGAAAGCAUUAAGUAUUCCACCUGGGGAGUACGCCGGCAACGGUGAAACUCAAAGGAAUUGACGGGGGCCCGCACAAGCGGAGGAACAUGUGGUUUAAUUCGAUGAUACGCGAGGAACCUUACCCGGGCUUAAAUUGCAGUGGAAUGAUGUGGAAACAUGUCAGUGAGCAAUCACC
rnacentral:rRNA from 1 species